rnacentral:lncRNA from 1 species
GGUUGAGUUUUACAGAAAACAUAUUUCCAAACACAUUCGCCACAGGCCAAACCCUCCACGGGGGAGAUUUACUUUUAGAAGCACUUUGAACUUGCUUUCUCUACAGUAUCUGAGAGAUAACCUGUUCUGCUUACUGUGAACCUUCUGGGACGAGAUGGCCAUCCUUGGCAGGGUGCUGUGCCCUGGGAGCACAAGAGAACGCACAUACAAAAGCCCAGGAGUGAAGAAGACGGGAAGCUGCCUCCCAUGACACUUGUCCCUCACAUGCUUCCAAAGUUCCCUGACUAAAACUGCCAGAUCUCAGUUCCUCUUUGGCAUUGACACAACCUUGGGCAUGUCCCAACUUAUCCAAGGCCCCAUCUUCCUAUUUAUAUAAGAAAGCGUAGCAAAAGCCCAUUUCCUCCCUAACCUAGAAAUUGCCUUCAGAAGUGGAAAGCCAUUCCUGGGAGUGCUCUAGCUCCCCGAAAGGGACAUGCCUACUGACACAGAGGUGAGUUCUACCAUAGCUGGAGACUUCCCAUACAAAGAGGGAAGCAUUUUCUGAGGGUUGAUCCAAUCAUACAACACUUUCAUGAAAUAGGCGUUAUGAUCUAAAUCUGAAAUUCACUUCCACGGGCUCAUGUUUUGCAUGUUUCUUCCUGGUUAGUGGUGCUAUGUUGAGAGGCCCUAGACCCUCUGGGAGACGGAGUUCAAGAGACAGAAGUAGGUCACACUGGGAGCAGCUUUUUAAGGUUAGACUCAGUUCUUUUCUCCUGCUUUGCACUCUGCUUUUGUGGUACACCAUGGUGUAUACACCCUCUGCCACAUACAUGAUCCUUACUGUGAUCUGAGUGGCUUUGCCUCCUGCUUGGCCUACUGGACUGAGUCUUUUGAAACCAUGAGUCAAUAUACACCUUCCACCCUGAAGGUAUUUCUAUCAGAUGUUUUGCCUCAACCUGUGCCCCUUGGGCCCCAGAACCCUAGCUAUGUGUGGUGAAGGAACAAAGAAAGAACAAAUGCACAUAUGGUGAUGUGGGGAUCAGGCCAAGCACUCUAAGCACUGUGACUACAACCUGGAUCCUCUGGGUGUUUAUUGGAUACAGCACAGGGAGGUGGAGAGGAGAUUGGGGGUACAAGAGGCCAGGGUCUCUGGCUGUGAACAUCCUGAAGGAGGAAGCCAUAGUUGCCAUGUUAUGAACACACUGAUCAAUUGUCUAUAAACACUCAUGCUUGGAUACCCAAGAGAAGCUUUGCUAUUUCUGUUGAGCCUGGGCUGUAAGACUAAUGGCUUUGUAAUUUGUCACUUGGGCCUGAGGCCUCAGAGUCCCCAAUAGGCCAUCCCUUUGUCAAAAGAUGCAUUUACUAAGGACAUCAAUCACUCAGGGCUUCCUCUGCUCUGUACAGAGUUUGGUCACAGGGAUACAAAAGUAACUCAGACCUCGAGGGUCUUGGAGAUAGGGAUUUCAAGAGCAUGCGUGGCAGUUCCAGAGCUGAGGAGGUACAAAAUGGCAGAAGUCACUUGUCCCUAGUGCUUCCUUAUUGAUCUCUGUGGCAGCUGCUGAGAGCUCUCUCAUGGCUUGCAGUUAAACUAUAUUGUCAAUACCUGUCGCCAUCUGAAAGUCUACUAAGAACCAGUGUGUCUGGCGGCCUUUGGAUCAAGUCUAAUUCCUACCGCAAUGCUAUAGAUAAGUGGCUCUAGCCUCUUCUUACAUAAGUGAGCGCUAAGAAGGAUAUGGCUAGAAGUGAGGAAAAUGGUGUACACUGAGGCCCCUGCUUCUGUAUCAAAAGAGAAAGAGUUCUGCUUGAAAACCUUUGAAAAAUCUUAAGAUCUCAAAUAUCGGGGAGGCCUCAGGGAAGUCAUCCUGGGGUAAUGUUAUCAUAAAGUUCACCCACGUCUCUGUGCCGCCAGUUGUGGGGUAUUGGAAAAUGGUGAGCACCUCAAGCCUCCAUGAAGAAAUGUUCCAUGGGCCUUAGUGCACAUGUGGAGGUUAAAGGACAACUUUUGGGGAUCUACGAUGGUCAGGUUUGCAUGGUCGCUCUUUCACCCUCCGAGCUGUCUCACCCUCCAUUGGCUGUAUUCCUAAGGCAAUUAUUGGUAUAUCCACUACUCAUAUUCUCUUAAUGAGAUUUAAUCUUUUGGAAAGCUGAGUCCGUAAGUCCUGCCUCUUUGCCUUCCCUACCAUACA